rnacentral:rRNA from 1 species
UACCAGCACCCCGAGUGGUCGGGACGAUUAUUGGGCCUAAAGCAUCCGUAGCCGGUUUUACAAGUCCUCCGUUAAAUCCAGCUGCUUAACAGAUGGGCUGCGGAGGAUACUAUAGAGCUAGGAGGCGGGAGAGGCAAGCGGUACUUAGUGGGUAGGGGUAAAAUCCGUUGAUCCAUUGAAGACCACCAGUGGCGAAGGCGGCUUGCCAGAACGCACUCGACGGUGAGGGAUGAAAGCUGGGGGAGCAACCGG